rnacentral:rRNA from 1 species
UUGCUCUUCAACGAGGAAUGCCUAGUAAGCGCAAGUCAUCAGCUUGCGUUGAUUACGUCCCUGCCCUUUGUACACACCGCCCGUCGCUACUACCGAUUGAAUGGCUCAGUGAGGCCUUCGGACUGGCUCCAGGAGGUCGGCAACGACCACCCAGAGCCGGAAAGUUGGUCAAACUUGGUCAUUUAGAGGAAGUAAAAGUCGUAACAAGGUUUCCGUAGGUGAACCUGCGGAAGGAUCAUUACUGAGAGAGGGACCUCGCGUCCCCCGGGGGGCUUCGGCCCUCCACCUCUUCAACCCGUGUUUAUAAACCUCUGUUGCUUUGGCGAGCGCCGGGGUGCCUCCCACCUCGGCCCUGACCCAGGUCGGUGCGUUCUCGCCAGAGCCCCUCAACCAUUCUGUUUAUUCAGUGACGUCCGAGUAUGAUCAAAAUUUAAAUCAAAACUUUCAACAACGGAUCUCUUGGUUCUGGCAUCGAUGAAGAACGCAGCGAAAUGCGAUAAGUAAUGUGAAUUGCAGAAUUCAGUGAAUCAUCGAAUCUUUGAACGCACAUUGCGCCCCUUGGUAUUCCGAGGGGUAUGCCUGUUCGAGCGUCAUUGCAACCCUCAAGCUUCGCUUGGUAUUGAGCUUUUACGCCGGAGACGGCGUGCUCGAAAAUUAGUGGCGGUCCAGGGAGACUUCAAGCGCAGUAAAACUUUCCGCUUUCGAGGCUCUCGCCUGUGGCCAGCCGUAAAGCCCCCCAACUUUUCAAUGAUUGACCUCGGAUCAGGUAGGGAUACCCGCUGAACUUAAGCAUAUCAAUAAGCGGAGGA